GCCGGCCCCGGCUCCCUGGGGCCCCGGCCUCCCAGUCCAUGGCUGUGCCCAUGAUGCUGCUCAACCUCAUGGACCAGCUGGGGGAGGCGGACGAGGAGCUGGCGGGCAACUACGCGGAGGUGGGGGACUGGUGCGCCCAAAGGAUCCUGCAGCACGUUCAGGACAGCCACUUUGGUGGUGGUAGCAGGAUAUCCUGCUUGGAGAUGGUCGGACUUGGCAGGUGCCUGGAGGAUGAACUUCAGGAAGGUGUGGGAGAUGCAUUUGGCCAACUGUCACUAUCAGGGAGUGAACUUCUCAAAUUCAAGAAGAAUUUGGAACUCUGUCUCCGAAUGCUACUGUUAUUAUAAUUUUGUCGUCCACUUUCACCCUCCGACUGUCAGGGCCGGCCUUCCGCGACAGGGGCCAUGGUCUUAGCUGCCGGCACCUGUUUCUCGGGUUCCCGCGCCAUGUGCUCUCAGGCUUUACGCCAGCAGCUGCAUGAUGCCUGACGCUUUUCAAGCAGCCCACUGGACUUCGGAAGAAAAGUUUCAGUAGCAUGUUUUGCAGAAGGAACUUUGUACCUAGGAUAAACAGUUUGGUCAAAUCUCAGAAAAUCUUUGUGUUUAGUUACUAUAGCAGUCCUUGUGACAGCAACUAUUUCCCUAAAGCACGUUAUAAAGUCUGGUGUGAAGGGUGUUUAGUCGAGAUCAAAUGUGUUUUAAGAGCCUUGUUUUUCCCUGAAACUUGGUUCCUUUCUUCAUGUGUUACAUUCUUUAUUAUUUCAAGAUCAGAGAUGAUUUCUCAAAGAAACAGUUGUAUACAAGUUGGGACAUAGUUCCUCCUGGAAGUUCUGCUUUAUUUCAUCCUGGCAAAAAUGAGAAUUCUCCAUAGGACUUUUUCCGAAAACACUCACGGCCUACGUGGAAUCAAACAACUGAAUGAUGCAUCCCAUUCUGAAAGUCGUUCUACUCAGUGCUACGAUGGGGUCCUCAGGGAAGUGGAGGGUCCCGGAGCAGCUGAGUGAAACUGAGGGCAGGAGCGAGGGGGCCAGAAACCGAGGGCACGUUAAAAAGCAGGAAACCCAAACCACUAUGCGAGUCUACCAAACCAGCGAGUGAGGAAUUAUUCUGUGUCGUAUUAUUAUUAACAACACAUAAACACUCUCUAUUUUAUAUGCUUUUAAAUUUAUUGUUAAAUACACAAGCAAAACAUGAAUAUAAUUCUCAUUUUAAAAUAUUAAACAAAUAGGAAUAAAAUAAAAGCUCCUUUUAGCCAUUCUCUAGGCCCCUCUCAAUUCCCCCUUUCCCGGAAGAUCCUUCCCGACAUUUCCUGCAUGUUUACAUGCAUAUAUGUACGGACACACUGGAGAGUUUCUCAUACUCUACGCUUAUUCUGCAACUUGCCCUCUCUCCCAAUUCCCCCUUUCCCAGAAGAUCCAUAAGGAAGCGUGCCUGGGAGAGAGUUUUUAAUUAUAGCUCUGUACUCCACAGCAUGGAUAUAGCAGACUUUGUUCCCAGCUUCCCCUCCUCGGUGCACAUUUAGGGGUCCUGCGGGGUUCCGCUGAUGGGCACAAUGCCGCAUGGACACUCUUGCCCCAUCACACACACACACACACACACACACACACACAUGCGCACGCGCGAACACUGCUGUAAGAUUGAGUCAGGGAGGGCAGCGCUAGAUGGCUCCAACCAAGAGACCACCAAUGAUGCAGCUAGUGGCUUAGAGAAGACUGAACAUUGUUACUCGCUCUCAUAAGGGUCAGCCGAGCACUCCAGGUUGAAGGGACAUCUCUGUUCCACGCCGUCACUCAGGAAGCCCAGUGCUUCUCAAACCAUUUGUGGUGAAAGACCAGUUUAUGUCCACCCACCCACCCCCAAUCCAUUUUGCCCAAGGCUUUUGUAAAAUGCAAUAAAGAUAUCAUGGUGAUGUUGA